UGUAAUCCAUAUAUACAUACAUAAUCAACAUCAGUGUGGACGUAGCCCAAACAUUAGGGGUGAACCAUGAUACAUUUUUGUGUUCUUGUGCGUUUGUGCGAUUCACGGCCGGAUUUACGUUGGUCCAAGAUCCUUCGGAUUUUGUGCAUCAACAUUUGGCGCCAUCUGUGAUAAACGACACGAAAAGCUAUGUCGGUUCUCUUUCAUUUUUUUCAUCUCACCACCGUGAAACCUCA
rnacentral:lncRNA from 1 species